GGCACAAACUUGAAGUAGAAUGGUUAGGUAUGGUCAGCUGAUUCUACUGAUCUACUCUACUUUAAGUUUGUGCUC
rfam:Haemonchus contortus, ISE/inbred ISE, WGS project CAVP01000000 data, contig: Hcontortus_contig_pathogens_Hcontortus_scaffold_5747